GAUUGGUCAAAACAGGCUAAGCUCUGCCCAUAGACCCCUAGAUCUCUCCGACAAGUACUCAUUCUUACUCACGAAGACUGGCUCUGCAUCUCAGCGACCCUCCAGGGCUGCUCUUCUCCACGUGGUGACUCAGUGACCAGGCAAAUGGGAUCCUAAGGCUUUUUUUUUUUUUUUUUUAAUCCCCACAUGAAGCUCCGUCUGUGGCCACGGAAGGAAAGGGGGCAGCUAGAGAAUUGCCUGUGUGCUUCUCACUGCUUUAGUCUGACGGUUACGUCUGACAUUUCCAGUCGCAAGUCGCUGGCCGGACUGGUCACGUGACCCUGCCUCACGGCAGGGGGCUGCGGAAUAUAAGGAAACAAAUGGAAUAUCUGAGCCUGGGCUUUGGGACUCGUGGGUCUGGAUGUGACCUUGGUUCUGCUGCUGAAUAAACGGGGUGACCUUGGCCAGACCAGCAACCUUCUCGGAGCCUCAGUUUUCUCUUCUGUAAAAUGGUAACCCGAAGGGUUACUGUGAGGAUUAACUGACACUGCUUAUGAAAAGAGCUCGGCACAUAGUAGGUGCUCAUUAAAAGGUAGCUUUUCCUGACUGUUGUGUCAGCUUGGGCCCCUUUGGGCUCUCCGCUCUUAAAUCAUGAGUCCUGUAUUCCUGACUCUCGCCAGAUGGGGGCAGUCACGGCUUUGUUAUUCCCUACACGCUCAAAGAGGGCCUCCUCCAGCGUCAGGCUGACUUGCCACCAGAGGGCUUUGUCACCUCUCUUAAAAGCAUCUUCCGGUGGACAGGGUGCUGGACAAUAGGCAAAACCCAUCAGAUUCUAAUUUGUUUCUCAAUCGAUUGUUUCCUCAUCUAAAAUGAGGGGCUAAGCAGCCCAUCACUCUAAGCUCCGUAUGGCUGAGACCAGCACUCACAACGCUGGGUCCCAGUCCUCUAGGGAGAACAUGCCCCGGGCACACAGGUGAGCCCCUGCUGUGCACUCCAUGUGAAAGGGGAGUCUCCUGGUGGCGGUGCCGGUGCCGUGCCAGAGCUGCAGAGCCAACGAUGUGUACUCAGCCCAUUCAUCUGCCUUCUGCCGCAGGAGCCCCCACAGAUGCCGAAGGUGCAGGGAAUGACUCAGCUCCAGCUUUUUCUGCUGUUUGGAUGCCUCCAGAAUGAUCUUCAGACCACAAGAUGGCACAGGAGCCACAAGAUGGAACAGCCUGUGUCCUGGAGCAACCAUGGCAGUGAAGCCACCCUGGAGAGCCAGGGGCCACGAGCAUGAACAUUAGACUCUAUAUGAGUGAGAAAUAGACAUGCAUAAGUAUUUCAAAUAUACCAAAGAAGUAGAGAGCAUAGUACAACAGCCCACUGUCGCCACCCAUCAUUCAGCCUCAAAAAUCAUCAACAUUUUUUUUCUCUUCUUUCAUUCACCUGCCCCACCCUACUUUUAAAUUGUUUGCUGGAGUUUUUAAAAGUACUUCCCAGGCAACGUGCCGAAAGACAGAACAGAACACAAAACAAACUCCAAACACACUUUAUCGUGUUAAGCCACCAAGAUGAGGGGUCGUUUGUCCCAUUGUUAGCCAGCCCAGACUAAGCGGUGGGCACUGGGUACCUAGCUAUUGAAUUGAACACAAGUGACCUGUUUUUCUAGGCUGCGCUGGGUGAGGAGGAAUGUGUCUGGGCCUAAAGCAGUAAGAAUGCCAAGCCUCCUAGCUCUCUGAGAAGUAGUUUUCUCUGUUCUUCUGGCCAAGCUGCACCCAGCCGCACCCAGCCGCACCCACCCACCCUACUGGCCCCUACCUCCUACAUCUUCCUUUCUCCAGGCCCUGGGCUGCUGAAGGAAGAAAUAGACCUAAGGUGGAAUGGGGAAUAGAGGGUUUCUGGGGCCCUGUCUCAGCUUGAGCUGGGCCAGUUGUGGGAGGGCGAGGCUGGAACAGAGAGAGCGGGCACGAGGGACGGAUGUUGGACACCUACAGCUUAGCAGCAGGGUCUGGGGCCAGGGGAGCAACACCUUUUGUGCCUUUCAGCUUGGCCUGUGUUCAUGACCCUGAAGCACAGAAGCAGGAGGAAGUUUUGUGGUCAGACCCCAAGGGUGGGCUGGAGUCCACUCAAAAAGUCAUUGUUAUCGAGCACGGGUUGGGUAGCCCUGUGCCCGGCGCUGGGAUGCAUGGUGGGCCAGAUCCUGGCUUAGCUGCUCCCCAGCUGUGUCACCUUGGGCAGGUUCCUUCACCCCAAUGAGCCUCAGACUCCUCAUUUUACAAACGAGGACGGAAAUAUCAGUCUUACCAGGGAAACUGGCCAUGAUGUAUGGAGAGAGCCUGGCACCCAGUAGGCUCUUGAUGACUCACAGAGAUUGCUAUUGAUUUCUGUUAACAGCAGCUAUGAGCAUGGAAAGUGCGCGUGGGCACCCUUCCAGGGAGUGGAUCAGGGCCGGAAGAUACUGAACCCCAUCCUGUUGGGAGCUGUUUUCAGAGAAGGAGAAAUGGAGGAAUGCUGGGAGCCAAAGAGCUUUCUCUGGGAGCGGCCAGGUCUAAUUUUGCAUGUCAGAGGAGAUGGGUGGGUGGAAUCCUGCAAUUCAGGGGCUCUUUCCUGGAAGGGGCUGGAUAGGCAACAAAAUGCUUCCUCCCUUAGAGACAGCCUCACAGCUGUCAGGAAAAAACAGCUGCAUGGCUUCCCUUCAAAGAGGGGAGACCUCAGUCUGUGGGGGAGCGGGGCAAGACGUGACAGCAAACAGGAACUCCCCGGCAGAUUUUCUCAGGGGCGGGGGUUAGAGGGGAGGAUGGACCAGGUUCAAAAGCCAGUCGUCCUACUUCCUGGCUGUGUGACCUUGGGCAAGUCACUUCACCUCUCCCGAGCCCUCGUGGUGUCGUGCUUUAAACGAUGCUCAUCUCACAAGGCUAUUAUGAGAAGAAAUGAUCGUGCGUCUAAAAUGCCUUGUGUGGUGCCUGGUACACCAGAAGCACUCAAUAAAAGGUCAUUGUAAAUCACUCA